rnacentral:rRNA from 1 species
UAGGGAAUUUUCCACAAUGGGCGCAAGCCUGAUGGAGCAACGCCGCGUGCAGGAUGAAGGCUUUCGGGUCGUAAACUGCUUUUAUUUGUGACGAUUAUGACAGUAGCAAAUGAAUAAGGGUCGGCUAACUACGUGCCAGCAGCCGCGGUCAUACGUAGGACCCGAGCGUUAUCCGGAAUUACUGGGCGUAAAGAGUUGCGUAGGUGGUUUGUUAAGUGAAUAGUGAAAUCGUGCGGCUCAACCGUAUACA